rnacentral:lncRNA from 1 species
AGAAAGGUAGGUUUAAAAACACCCUUGAUCCUAUUGUCAACACCACCAAGCAUAGCACGUGCUAGCUUCACAUAAAACUUGGAUCGACAUCAUGCAUUCAAUUUUUUAUAGUUCACCUCAUUUUAAACAGUCAUCAGGGGUUGCAGCCUCAUUCAAGCAGCUCAUGUCAUAGUGCGAGAUUCCUAGUGUGUAGAAAUAGUAACCAGCAUUGUUACCCUUUGCUUCACUUGGGACUGUUCAGAUUGUUGUAGAGGAUCAAUUUGCCCCAUGCUGCCAUGCAUACCUCCACUGUCAUACAUGCAGAUAUAAGAAAGAAAAAACAGUUUCUUAUGUAUCAUCGGGGAUGCAAUGCAAGGUAAAGAUUACAUGUUCAAGCUUGGAUGUUGUUAUUUAUGCCCCUGCCUGACUUUUAAGCCAACAUAUAGGAUGUGCGCUACUGGUAAACAGAAACACACCAUGUUGUAUUCUUACACUUAACUUUAUAUUAUCUGUGGACGUAUUGUCAUAUGGACUAUCGAAAAAGAGGAACCUGAGAAUAUAUUAUGUAUCCCUUCUUGUUGUUUUGUUUAUUAAGUGACCAUAGAAAUUAGUUACAGACUAUAUAUACGUUUUCGAUUGAGUUGUUCCUGGAGGCUGUAGUUUUCCUGGAUUGUUUCACAUUAUUUAUUGAAGAUAGUUUCUCACACAAUUAAAGUUAAUAGACGACAGAGUUCAACAUAAAGCCAAACUUACACCUAGAUUCUAAUCAAGACUCAAAUGCUGCUCAGCUUUGAAAUUUAGUAAAUAAUUGUCUUAUGGUGUUUACACCGGAUUAUCAAGCUCCUUGAUUAGUAUCUGAAAAACAGGCAGAGAGAUACCCUUGUAGCAUCUAUUUUAGGUAACUCAACUGCCCUUGAUAGCUUGAUCUUUCUCCAUUCCUAGCUAAUUCAAUUGGUGCCAAGUACCAAGAAGUCAAGAACACAUCCCAAAUUAAUAGAUUUUAAGCUUGUAUCAAACCUCUACAAUAUGUCUAUCAGCUUGUUUAGGUAGUCUGUAAAUUGAUUAGUGGAAAAGAAUUUCAGAUGUCGUGUAGUGUUUAGAAACAUUCAGUUCACAGGCAAAAAGUAAUCAGCAUGAAUGGUACAAAGUGAUCAUAAAAAUUAUCGAAGCAUAUAGCCUUCAUUUCGAUAGCAAAGUUGUGUAUGACCUUGAAUAUCUUUAGUUUUAUAAUUUUAAUCCCUAGAGAAUGAAUAUUUUCCAAUGUAAAAAAAAAAAAUCAUGAUAAAAAACAGGUAAAGAGAUUUCAUGCAUAAGACAAACAACUAACCUCAUAACAGGAUGAGAAAGAAAAGGAUCUCCAAUCGUACUUGAGUUGUACCCUUUCUUCUAUUUUGGUAAAUGAAUUGUACUGGAAAAAGACAGAAGAAUUCCUAAGAAAGACUAUGGCAGUGCAAGGGAAAAAGUGAGAGAGGUUCACAAAAACCCAAUUACAACAUAAUUCACUCAAUGUACAUGAAGAUUUUUCUCAACCAGUUUGAUAUAAAACGAAGUUUUCCAUGAUGAUAAGAAUCCAUUAAUAUUAUAAUAUACUCUCUCCGUCCCAAAUUAUAAGUACGUUUUGAAGUAUUCUACUUAUUAAGGGAACAUCAUUUAUUGUUUGUCUACUAACUAUACUUUCAAAUUUACCCCUAUUUAAUGAGUCCCACUUAUUAAACAUACUUUUCUCAAAAAGUUUGAUAUAAAACGAAGUUUUCCACGAUGAUAAGAAUCCAUUAAUAUUAUAAUAUACUCCUUCCGUCUCAAAUUAUAAGUACGUUUUGAAGUAUUCUACUUAUUAAGGGAACAUCAUUUAUUGUUUGUCUACUAACUAUACUUUCAAAUUUACCCCUAUUUAAUGAGUCUCGCUUAUUAAACAUACAGUAGAACCUCUUUAAAUUAAUAGCGUCGGGACCUAUGUAAUUUUAUUAAAAUUUAUUAACUUAGAGAGAUUAUUAACUUACCGAGUGUUGAUUUAGCUACUUACUAUGUACAUCGGGACCAAAGAAUUUCAUUAACUUACAGAGAUAUUAACGAAUCGAGUAUUAAUAUAAAGACGUUCUACUGUAGUCUCUAAUUAUUUGUAUUAGAAUAAUUACUCUAAUUCCAAAGCAAGAGUAGUAUAGGCAAAAGAACAAUUUAACUUAAUUAAUAUGUGUUCAAAUAUGAAAAAUGACAUAUAUUUUGGGACAACCAAAAAAGGAACAAGGUACUUAUAAUUUGGGACAAAUUGAUAUACCAGCACAUGCAUCAUUUUGAGAUUUCACCCAUAUUUUAGACAAAUCCAUGGGUAAGGAUAUCAAGAUUGUCAAAGUUAACUCUGUCAAAAUUUUCAAAGAAUAAAACCUCAACCAAUCAAGAUUCGAAUUCUCCUGAAAGUUUUGUCUAUUGAUUUAUAUAUGACCAAAUACUCUUUUCAGCCUGAUAUUCAAAUAGACUUGAUGAUUGGGGGCCCGGAAAAAUGUGUAAGAUAAUACUAAUACUAACAUUACUACUCAAAAUGAAAAUUCAAAUCAUCCAAAACAUAUUUAGGGACCAUUUCAUGUUGGAGGGUUGCUUUCUAAGUUCAGGGUGGCACAUAAGAUGGGGAACUCAUACAGUCAGAAUUCACUCUUAUGGACGCCAAACUAACAACUAUUAUGAUUAUUACUAAAGCUGAAUUUUAUUGGAUGGGAAGAAAGAAUGCACACACCUCAAGGAUUCACAAGCAGCUUUUAUAAGUAUAAACCUGGCUAUAUUUAUCCAAUCAAAUAUUGUAGUAAAUCCUUUCUGGUCAUCCCAAUCAGCAAGUCAUUAUUCAAAGCUUCCACACCAU